AAAGAACAGAGAAUGUUACUGUUCGGGCCUAGUCAACUUGGGAAGGAAGCCCACGUCUGCCAGCAGCAGAUACUGUCUAAAGUCCCUUAGGAGUCAGGGCUUCUGUAAGUCCCUGGAUUCAAGCUGCUCAGUAACCCCAAGUGUCCCUCUACAGGUUUUAAUCUGCAGAGGCCCACCGUCUGGGUGUGGCUGAUGGUGUCACUGUGAUCCUCUCUCCUGACCUCCGUGCUCCAUCACUGGUGUGCUGCCCUUCCAGCGUCACGUCCAGAGGCACGCGCUAUCCCACCUGAAGCACCAUGCCAGAGCCCUGGGUUCAGCAGAACAUAAAAUCUGCUCCGUGGCAUUAUUAGAUAAUAAACUAAAAAUGGAAGGAGUGGACUCUGACAGCUGAAGGCGCCGCACCACCACACCCAUCUGUUCUUUCCCCUGCAGUCACCCAAAAACACACGCCUGACUGUCCACUGUCAACAGGUCGUAACAACUCAAGGGUCUCUGACCUGCCAGCAGUGGGAGGUCUGCUCCUGAAGAAGUCUUGUUUCAAUUUACAGCAAUCCCAGGAGCUGGCUACACAGGAGGUCGGACUGCCUAAAAAAGGUGGCAAAACACAGACCAAGACAAGGGAGGCCUCUUUCCGAAUAACCAUCAACAGUGUGUCCUUCAGUUAACACCGUUAUUCUGCAUGUUGAAUAAGCAGG